UUGUAUGCAGAGAUGAAGCAAAUUUUCGUGGACUAGAGUUUCUGAUCUUGUAUUUAACGAAACAACCCUUGGCUGUCUGAGCAUACAA